GUCGAGCGGUAGCACAGAGAGCUUGCUCUCGGGUGACGAGCGGCGGACGGGUGAGUAAUGUCUGGGAAACUGCCUGAUGGAGGGGGAUAACUACUGGAAACGGUAGCUAAUACCGCAUAAUGUCGCAAGACCAAAGUGGGGGACCUUCGGGCCUCAUGCCAUCAGAUGUGCCCAGAUGGGAUUAGCUAGUAGGUGGGGUAACGGCUCACCUAGGCGACGAUCCCUAGCUGGUCUGAGAGGAUGACCAGCCACACUGGAACUGAGACACGGUCCAGACUCCUACGGGAGGCAGCAGUGGGGAAUAUUGCACAAUGGGCGCAAGCCUGAUGCAGCCAUGCCGCGUGUGUGAAGAAGGCCUUCGGGUUGUAAAGCACUUUCAGCGGGGAGGAAGGCGUUAAGGUUAAUAACCUUGGCGAUUGACGUUACCCGCAGAAGAAGCACCGGCUAACUCCGUGCCAGCAGCCGCGGUAAUACGGAGGGUGCAAGCGUUAAUCGGAAUUACUGGGCGUAAAGCGCACGCAGGCGGUCUGUCAAGUCGGAUGUGAAAUCCCCGGGCUCAACCUGGGAACUGCAUUCGAAACUGGCAGGCUAGAGUCUUGUAGAGGGGGGUAGAAUUCCAGGUGUAGCGGUGAAAUGCGUAGAGAUCUGGAGGAAUACCGGUGGCGAAGGCGGCCCCCUGGACAAAGACUGACGCUCAGGUGCGAAAGCGUGGGGAGCAAACAGGAUUAGAUACCCUGGUAGUCCACGCCGUAAACGAUGUCGAUUUGGAGGUUGUGCCCUUGAGGCGUGGCUUCCGGAGCUAACGCGUUAAAUCGACCGCCUGGGGAGUACGGCCGCAAGGUUAAAACUCAAAUGAAUUGACGGGGGCCCGCACAAGCGGUGGAGCAUGUGGUUUAAUUCGAUGCAACGCGAAGAACCUUACCUGGUCUUGACAUCCACAGAACUUUCCAGAGAUGGAUUGGUGCCUUCGGGAACUGUGAGACAGGUGCUGCAUGGCUGUCGUCAGCUCGUGUUGUGAAAUGUUGGGUUAAGUCCCGCAACGAGCGCAACCCUUAUCCUUUGUUGCCAGCGGUCCGGCCGGGAACUCAAAGGAGACUGCCAGUGAUAAACUGGAGGAAGGUGGGGAUGACGUCAAGUCAUCAUGGCCCUUACGACCAGGGCUACACACGUGCUACAAUGGCAUAUACAAAGAGAAGCGACCUCGCGAGAGCAAGCGGACCUCAUAAAGUAUGUCGUAGUCCGGAUUGGAGUCUGCAACUCGACUCCAUGAAGUCGGAAUCGCUAGUAAUCGUAGAUCAGAAUGCUACGGUGAAUACGUUCCCGGGCCUUGUACACACCGCAAGUCACACCAUGGGAGUGGGUUGCAAAAGAAGUAGGUAGCUUAACCUUCGGGAGGGC
rnacentral:rRNA from 1 species